AUUCUAUUAUCAUUGUGUGUGCAUAAUCAGGCAAGGGAGAGGCACGUUCUUCCACUUUGAAUUUUCCUGGAACAAAAAUUUGAAAAACUUUAAAGAGUCAAGAAAGAAAGAAAUAGGCUGGCCUACUCAGAGGUAGGGUCCUUGGCCCAGAGUAUGUACAGUGCUGGGUUCUACCCCUAACACUGACAAAAGCAAAACAAAUAUGGAAUCAACAAACAAGAAUAAAGGGAUGAAGAAGAAAAAGAAAGCAACUAGUAACUCAAACCAGAAACCUUUGUCUAUUAUGACCUGGCAUCUCCACCAAGAAAGCAGCAGCUUGAACUUGGUUCUUGUGUGACUCUUGAUCAGGUCACUGCAUCUGAACAGCUCCAUGGUUUAAUAUUUCGUGAAGAACAGUAUGUUGUGAGAAGGGGCAAGGCCUAUCUUUGGAAUUCAUCCACUUUCUGGAAACAGUGACUUUCUCGAAUGGCAGGAAACCCAGGAUUGGCGCCUCCUUCCUGGAUCCAACCUGAGACACUCAGAGAUGGAGCCCACGGCGCCUCAUGGCUGAUGUUCCAGAAGAUGGAAUUAUCUCUAGUAGCAAUACCAGGAGCAUGGAAGCCCCUCUGUGACCUGUUGACAGACACCAUGUUUUGCAUAAUAUAUAUAUUUUCAUUUUC